rnacentral:rRNA from 1 species
UACGAAGGGGGCUAGCGUUGCUCGGAAUCACUGGGCGUAAAGGGUGCGUAGGCGGGUCUUUAAGUCAGGGGUGAAAUCCUGGAGCUCAACUCCAGAACUGCCUUUGAUACUGAGGAUCUUGAGUUCGGGAGAGGUGAGUGGAACUGCGAGUGUAGAGGUGAAAAUUCGUAGAUAUUCGCAAGAACACCAGUGGCGAAGGCGGCUCACUGGCCCGAUACUGACGCUGAGGCACGAAAGCGUGGGAGCAAACAGG